UGCCCCAUUUGUAAGGAAAUGGAAGGACUUGGAAAAAAAAUACGAAGUAAACUAGGCCCAAAGAAAAGUCAGUUGCAUGGUUUCCCUCAUUUGUAAUAACUAGAAUAUGUCGAUGAUAUUCUUAACAAGAGAUCUCAAUAGCCCAGCUGCU